AGCGAACGCUGGCGGCAGGCCUAACACAUGCAAGUCGAACGGAUCCUUCGGGAUUAGUGGCGGACGGGUGAGUAACACGUGGGAACGUGCCCUUUGGUUCGGAACAACUCAGGGAAACCUGAGCUAAUACCGGAUGUGCCCUUCGGGGGAAAGAUUUAUCGCCAUUGGAGCGGCCCGCGUCUGAUUAGCUCGUUGGUGAGGUAAAGGCUCACCAAGGCGACGAGCAGUAGCUGGUCUGAGAGGAUGAUCAGCCACAUUGGGACUGAGACACGGCCCAAACUCCUCCGGGAGGCAGCAGUGGGGAAUCUUGCGCAAUGGGCGAAAGCCUGACGCAGCCAUGCCGCGUGAAUGAUGAAGGUCUUAGGAUUGUAAAAUUCUUUCACCGGGGACGAUAAUGACGGUACCCGGAGAAGAAGCCCCGGCUAACCUCGUGCCAGCCGCCGCCGUAAAAC
rnacentral:rRNA from 1 species